CUUACUUGAAUUAAAAUGCUGAAAGCUAUCAGAUUAAAUAUAAUAUGUAUGGUUUAUCAGCCACUCAGCAACUAUAAGAUAACUCAAGUAAGACUUUCCCCUCCGCACAGAGGUGGCAGUCUAUAAUUUGAUCAAACUCAAUUGGAGUGAGCCCGGGGGAGGCCUCUCCUUGGCACUGACAUGACUGGUGGCAUUCGUGGC
rnacentral:lncRNA from 1 species